rnacentral:rRNA from 1 species
UACGUAGGGGGCAAGCGUUGUCCGGAAUCAUUGGGCGUAAAGCGCGCGUAGGCGGCCCGGUCAGUCCGUUGUGAAAGUCAAAGGCUCAACCUUUGAAUGCCGACGGAUACUGCCGGGCUAGAGUACGGAAGAGGCGAGUGGAAUUCCUGGUGUAGCGGUGAAAUGCGUAGAUAUCAGGAGGAACACCGGUGGCGAAGGCGGCUUUCUGGACAGAAACUGACGCUGAUGCGCGAAAGCUAGGGGAGCAAACAGG